rnacentral:ncRNA from 1 species
ACUCUAGUCCGACUUUGUCAAAUGACUUGAGAUGUGUAGUAUAAGCGGGAGACGAAAGGCGAAAGUGAAAUACCACUACUUUUAAUGUUAUUUUACAUAUUCUGUGAAUCGGAACCGGGGCACUACCCCUCUUUUUGGACCCAAGGCUUGCUUGCAGGCCGAUCCGGGCUGAAGACAUUGUCAGGUGCGGAGU